UACGUAGGGGGCAAGCGUUAUCCGGAUUUACUGGGUGUAAAGGGAGCGUAGACGGUGCGCCAAGUCUGGAGUGAAAUGCCGCGGCUUAACCGCGGAACUGCUUUGGAAACUGGCGUGCUUGAGUGCGGGAGGGGUAAGCGGAAUUCCUAGUGUAGCGGUGAAAUGCGUAGAUAUUAGGAGGAACACCGGUGGCGAAGGCGGCUUACUGGACCGUAACUGACGUUGAGGCUCGAAAGCGUGGGGAGCAAACAGG
rnacentral:rRNA from 1 species